rnacentral:lncRNA from 1 species
UCAGAUAUAAUUGCAAUAACAGAAUUUUCAAAUAAUAAUCAGACAAGCAAAAGCUCUAAAUCACAAUCAAGAAAUCCAACCCAAGCUCCGAUACCAAUUGUUGGGAUAUAAUAUGCGGAAAUGACAGGAUCUUGCAAUUUAUGUCAAUGCGAAAUCACCAGAGAAAUAAAUAAGAAAAAUAAUAACACCAAAAAAUUUACAUAGUUUGGUCCGACUAUCGGUACCUACGUCCACGGGAAGAGCUAAUAGCAAAUAAUCCACUAUAAUUCAAAGUUUACAAUUGCUCAAACGUUCAAGUGUUUCCCACACCUAGAUUUAACUCUAAACUCAAAGUGUUUAUAAAUAAACAACUCACUUGGGUAUAAACUCACGGCACAAAAUUAUCGCGCAUUCAAGCUCAAAACAAUACACUCUUCGUAUGGCUUCGCAUAUUUCUUCAAAGCUUUACGCGGAAUCUGGCUUGGCCGACAUGCGGCUUCGCCCUCGCUUCUCCUACGUAGGGGUUUUUUCUGCCGCUCACACAAAAACCCAAAGAAGGAAAUUAUAUCGGUUUUUAUAUGUGUGCCCACUUGGGCCCACGGCCGGAUUCCUUUUUUUCAACUUUAUUUCCUCUCCAGUAAAGCGAGUCCAGCAAAUCUCAAAUUUGAGUCAUAAAUUUAACAUGUUUUGGAUUCUCUUCGACUGACGAAUGUUCCGGAAGCUGCAGGCGACAUACAUGAGCAGUCUACCGCAAUAGUGAGCAAUCAAUGCCGAGUUCGAAAAGCGAAUGCUUCCGACUCAGCCCCAGUCUUAUCCGGCUGGACAGCUACUCCAUCCCUGAGAAAAGGGAGAACCGGGCAUGAUUUAUUUACACAUAUGACUAGGAAAAAUACGAAGUCAUCGACUGGUCGAGAUCAUGUGAAUUCUUUCUUGAUAGCAAAGCAAAACACGUUAUAGGGAGCGUCUAAGUAGAUGACUCGUUGGGCAUUCGGAACAGGGCUUCUCCGGCUAAAGAACUUCUGGUAUGGCUAAGGGAUAUACUUUUUCCAAGCAACAUCCAGACGGCCCCCUGUCAACCGCACGGAGAUAGCCUGAACAUCGAUCUCAAGUCUCUCUAGUUCAUAAAUCAUUAAUGCAACCAUAAGAAAACUUACCUCUCUCAUGACCUGCAAAUCCCUUCAACUGGAAAAAUUUUAGGACAUUCAAUCCUCCUAAGAAAACAUCAGAACUGUUGGGUGUUUUGCGGAAGCGUGAGUGUUUUUGUGUGUGUGCAAGUGUUAUGUGUGAAUAAUAAAAGGACUACAAUGGCAAAGGGAGAAUGGGUUAAAAAAAAGGAGCUUUUAUUAUGAAAGUUUUUAUUACAAAGGAAGGGUUUUGGAAGGAGUGUGUG